rnacentral:rRNA from 1 species
AGUGAACGGGGGGGGUAGGCCGAGCACAUGCGAGUCGAACGGCAUCACAGUAAGAGCUGGCUCUUACAGGUGGCGAGUGGCGGACGGUUGAGGAAUAAAUCGGAAUCGACUUUUUCGUGGGGGGUAACGUAGGGAAACUUACGCAAAUACCGCAUACGACCUACGGGUGAAAGCAGGGGAUCUUCGGACCUUGCGCGAGUGAAUGAGCCGAUGUCGGAUUAGCUAGUUUGCGGGGUAAAGGCCCACCAAGGCGACGGUCCGUAGCUGGUCUGAGAGGAUGAUAAGCCCCCCUGGAACUGAGCCAAGGUUCAGACCCCUAUGGCAGGCAGCAGUCGGGAAUAUUGGCCCAUGCGCGCAAGCCCGCUCCAGCCCUACCGCGUGGGUGAAGAAGGCCUUCGGCUUGUAACGCCCUUUUGUCGGGAACGACAAGCACCAGGCUAAUACCCCGCUGUUCUGACGGUACCCAAAGAAUAAGCACCGGCUACCCUCGUG